GAUUGCAGGCUGCAACUCGCCUGCAUGAAGUUGGAAUUGCUAGUAAUCGCGAAUCAGAAUGUCGCGGUGAAUACGUUCCCGGGCCUUGUACACACCGCCCGUCACACCAUGAGAGCCGAUAACACCCGAAGCCUGUGAGCUAACCGUAAGGGGGCAGCAGUCGAAGGUGGGGUUGGUGAUUGGGGUGAAGUCGUAACAAGGUAAC
rnacentral:rRNA from 1 species